rnacentral:tRNA from 1 species
ACUAUUUUGGCAGAUAAGUGCAAUAGAUUUAGAAUCUAUAGAUGUAAUUUAUAUUACAAAUAGUA